ACUCCUCUCCCAAGCCAGCUACCUCAUCGGAGCGCCGCCCCGCCUCGCCCCGCGCAGUUUGGAUUCGAAGUGCGCGGGCGGGGAGGGAGUUGAGAGCACCGCGGCUACCUGGCUUCCCUGAGUCCCGGCUGCCGGGAACGGGCGCGGGGGUGAAUAGUAAGUGGCAGCACUGUGGAAUGGGGAACAGAUGGAAGAAUGAGCAGCUGGGAGGCACACUCUUGCAAAAACCCAGGCAAGAGACAAUAAAGACCUCUGUCGUAGGGAUGGUGAGGAGAAGAUGAACUAGAGACAUUUAGAAAUAAGAACCAAUAGCACAAGGGAACCAGCUGAAGGUGGGGCAUAGAAAGAAAAAAUCUGAGGUCAAGAAUACAAUUUUUUGCUCAUUUGAACAAAGUUUGGGAAUACAGGAAGAAGAGCAGAUUAAAGGAUUCAAGUAGGGA